rnacentral:rRNA from 1 species
UACAUAGGGUGCAAGCGUUGUCCGGAUUUAUUGGGCGUAAAGAGUUCGUAGGCGGUUUAUCGCGUCGGGUGUGAAAACUCAGGGCUUAACCCUGAGCCUGCACUCGAUACGGGUUUACUUGAGGACGGCAGGGGAGACUGGAACUCCUGGUGUAGCGGUGGAAUGCGCAGAUAUCAGGAAGAACACCAAUGGCGAAGGCAGGUCUCUGGGCCGAUUCUGACGCUGAGGAACGAAAGCGUGGGGAGCAAACAGGAUUAGAUACCCUGGUAGUCCACGCCGUAAACGGUGGAUGCUAGGUGUGGGAAACAUUAACGUUUUCUGCGCCGCAGCUAACGCAUUAAGCAUCCCGCCUGGGGAGUACGGCCGCAAGGCUAAA